AGUGAACGCUGGCGGUAGGCCUAACACAUGCAAGUCGAACGGCAGCACAGUAAGAGCUUGCUCUUACGGGUGGCGAGUGGCGGACGGGUGAGGAAUACAUCGGAAUCUACUUUUUCGUGGGGGAUAACGUAGGGAAACUUACGCUAAUACCGCAUACGACCUACGGGUGAAAGCAGGGGAUCUUCGGACCUUGCGCGAUUGAAUGAGCCGAUGUCGGAUUAGCUAGUUGGCGGGGUAAAGGCCCACCAAGGCGACGAUCCGUAGCUGGUCUGGGAGGAUGAUCAGCCACACUGGAACUGAGACACGGUCAAGACUCCUACGGGAGGCAGCAGUGGGCAAUAUUGGACAAUGGGCGCAAGCCUGAUCCAGCCAUACCGCGUGUGAGAAGAAGGCCUUCGGGUUGUAAAGCCCUUUUGUUGGGAAAGAAAAGCAGCAGGUUAAUACCCCGCUGUUCUGACGGUACCCAAAGAAUAAGCACCGGCUAACUUCGUG
rnacentral:rRNA from 1 species